AUCCAAAUUUGAACUGGUCAUCAUUGCAGUACUCAUUUCCAGGAAACUAGUCCUGUGUGUUCAAUAUAGCCUCUUCUGAAUUUGAUCCUGACUGUCUUUGCAUGAAUAACAAUGACACAUCUGUGCCUGAUUCCACUCUCUUUUCUCUCCUUGUACACUUACUCCUCCUAGCAGCUGGGCUGAGCACCUGGUGUGUAUGAAGCUGGACAUUGUUAUUGAUUACUGUAGGGAGGAGUGGUCCCAGACAUCAUGGCUCCGUCACUGCAUCCCCGGUGUAGAAGGCAAGCAACACAAGGAAAGGAUGGAAUUGCAUACAUUGAAGAUCAUUUUGGAAGCAAAGAAUGAAAAUGUUUAUUCUUGAUGAAGACCAUCAAACAGUUUUCUGUUGACUUACUAAAAUUGACCUGACAUGGACUUUAUCCAUAUGUUAUGUUUCUCUGUAUUUUCAGCAUGAAAGGCAUUAGGUAAAGCUAUCACCGUAAUCCUCUAUUUUGUUAAUAACCACAUUCAAAGUGCUGGCAGCUUUUUUUUUUUA